rnacentral:rRNA from 1 species
GUGGCGAGCGAUGUCACAGACUGGAAACAGUACCCUGUACAGGUGCUGCAUGGCUGUCGUCAGCUCGUGCCGUGAGGUGUUGGGUUAAGUCCCGCAACGAGCGCAACCCCCUACUGCCAGUUACUAACAGGUAACGCUGAGGACUCUGGCGGAACUGCCGGUGACAAACCGGAGGAAGGUGGGGAUGACGUCAAGUCAUCAUGGCCCCUAUGUCCAGGGCUACACACGUGCUACAAUGGGCGAUACAGAGUGACGCGAAGCCGCGAGGUGGAGCAAAUCGCAGAAAAUCGCUCUCAGUUCGGAUUGGAGUCUGAAACCCGACUCCAUGAAGGUGGAAUCGCUAGUAAUCGCGCAUCAGCAUGGCGCGGUGAAUACGUUCCCGGGCCUU